rnacentral:ncRNA from 1 species
AUAACAAUAUAGGGCUCUUUCGGGUCUUAUAAUUGGAAUGAGUACAAUUUAAAUCCCUUAACGAGGAACAAUUGGAGGGCAAGUCUGGUGCCAGCAGCCGCGGUAAUUCCAGCUCCAA